AAUCAACGCUGAGCGGCGUGCCUCAGACAUGCAAGUCGAACGUGAAAGCUCCCUUCGGGGGGCAAGUAGAGUGGCGCACGGGUGAGUAACGCGUAGGUAAUCUACCUUCGGAUGGGGAAUAACAACCGGAAACGGUUGCUAAUACCGCAUAAUGCAGCGGCACCUAAUGGUGACAGUUGUUAAAGCGGGGGAUCGAAAGACCUCGCGUCUGAAGAGGAGCCUGCGGCGGAUUAGCUAGUUGGUAAGGUAAUGGCUUACCAAGGCGACGAUCCGUAGCCGGCCUGAGAGGGCGGUCGGCCACACUGACACUGACAUACGGGUCAGACUCCUACGGGAGGCAGCAGUCGGGAAUUUUGGGCAAUGGGCGAAAGCCUGACCCAGCAACGCCGCGUGAAGGAUGAAAUCCCUCGGGAUGUAAACUUCGCAAGAACGGGAAGAAUAAGUCGGUGCUAACACCACCGGCGAUGACGGUACCGUUUGUAAGCUCCGGCUAACUCCGUGCCAGCAGCCGCGGUAAUACGGGGGGAGCAAGCGUUGUUCGGAUUUACUGGGCGUAAAGGGCGCGUAGGCGGCCACCGCAAGUCAAUUGUGAAAUCUCCGGGCUUAACUCGGAAAGGUCAACUGAUACUGCGGGGCUAGAGUGCAGAAGGGGCAACUGGAAUUCUCGGUGUAGCGGUGAAAUGCGUAGAUAUCGAGAGGAACACCUGAGGCGAAGGCGACUUUCUGGCCUAUAACUGACGCUGAGGCGCGAAAGCGUGGGGAGCAAACAGGAUUAGAUACCCUGGUAGUCCACGCCGUAAACGAUGCAUACUAGGUGUUGGGGAUUCGAUUCCUCGGUGCCGAAGUUAACACAGUAAGUAUGCCGCCUGGGGAGUACGCUCGCAAGAGUGAAACUCAAAGGAAUUGACGGGGACCCGCACAAGCAGUGGAGUAUGUGGUUUAAUUCGAAGCAACGCGAAGAACCUUACCAGGUCUUGACAUCCCUCUGAAAGCCCUAGAGAUAGGGCCCUCCUUCGGGACAGAGGAGACAGGUGGUGCAUGGUUGUCGUCAGCUCGUGUCGUGAGAUGUUGGGUUAAGUCCCGCAACGAGCGCAACCCUUGAUCUUAGUUGCCAGCACUUCGGGUGGGCACUCUAAGAUGACUGCCGGUGACAAACCGGAGGAAGGUGGGGAUGACGUCAAAUCAUCAUGCCCCUUAUGACCUGGGCUACACACGUACUACAAUGGUCGGUACAACGGGAUGCGAAGCCGCGAGGUGGAGCGAAUCCUUAUAAGCCGAUCUCAGUUCGGAUUGCAGGCUGCAACUCGCCUGCAUGAAGUCGGAAUUGCUAGUAAUCGCGGAUCAGCAUGCCGCGGUGAUACGUUCCCGGUCUUGUACACAC
rnacentral:rRNA from 1 species